AUUGAACGCUGGCGGAAUGCUUUACACAUGCAAGUCGAACGGCAGCACGGACUUCGGUCUGGUGGCGAGUGGCGAACGGGUGAGUAAUGUAUCGGAACGUGCCCAGUCGUGGGGGAUAACGUAGUGAAAAUUACGCUAAUACCGCACACGAUCUAUGGAUGAAAGCGGGGGAUCGCAAGACCUCGCGCGAUUGGAGCGGCCAAUAUCAGAUUAGGUAGUUGGUGGGGUAAAGGCCCACCAAGCCAACGAUCUGUAGCUGGUCUGAGAGGACGACCAGCCACACUGGAACUGAGACACGGUCCAGACUCCUACGGGAGGCAGCAGUGGGGAAUUUUGGACAAUGGGCGAAAGCCUGAUCCAGCCAUUCCGCGUGCAGGAUGAAGGCCCUCGGGUUGUAAACUGCUUUUGUACAGAACGAAAAGGUUUCUACUAAUACUAGGAGCUCAUGACGGUACUGUAAGAAUAAGCACCGGCUAACUACGUGCCAGCAGCCGCAGUAA
rnacentral:rRNA from 1 species